rnacentral:rRNA from 1 species
CCUACGGGAGGCAGCAGUAAGGAAUAUUGGUCAAUGGGCGGAAGCCUGAACCAGCCAUGCCGCGUGCAGGAAGACGGCCUACGGGUUGUAAACUGCUUUUGCAGGGGAAUAUGUACUCUGAGAAUAAGGAUCGGCUAACUCCGUGCCAGCAGCCGCGGUAAUACGGAGGAUCCGAGCGUUAUCCGGAUUUAUUGGGUUUAAAGGGUGCGUAGGCGGCUUAUUAAGUCAGGGGUGAAAGACGGUAGCUUAACUAUCGCAGUGCCCUUGAUACUGAUGAGCUUGAAUGUAGUUGAGGUAGGCGGAAUGUGACAAGUAGCGGUGAAAUGCAUAGAUAUGUCACAGAACACCAAUUGCGAAGGCAGCUUACUAAGUUGAUUGACGCUGAGGCACGAAAGCGUGGGGAUCAAACAGGAUUAGAUACCCUGGUAGUC